CUACUUUACCUACCUACAGUUUUAUAACUCCAUCUGUUUUCCAAGGAGAAGUAUUCAAUAGUUACCAUUUAUGAUGGUAUGACUUAAAUUAUUACCAUAUAAUGAAACUCACUUCCAAUUUCUAAAAAAAUAUUUGUUCAGUACAUGACAAAGAGAUGGAGCAGAAUAAAAUUAAAAAUUGAACAUGCAUAAAACUCAAACAAAUGAACAUGAAACUAUUUGAUAAGCCCCAGUAUAAGGCAAAACUGAUCUUGAAGUUUCUGAGCAACUCAGAUAUGGAGAUCUUCCAGUCCUUUUCUGCUUAAAAUAGUUUAAGAAUUCAUUCCCACAGGAACAGAACAGCACUGUAUACACGUAGAUAACAGAAAAGGUGGUUUACUAUGACAAGCGAGGAAAAGAUGUAGACUACAAGAUUUUUUCUUUUUAUAAAAGAAUGAUGAAAACAUAAUUUUUUUAUUUUUAUGCAUUUAAUGGUUUAGACUUUGCACUUGAAAAAGAAAACAUUCUUCAUAAGGACUCUGACCUUUAUAUACUACACAGAUUGUGGACAAAGGGGUCUGAACAAAGACUCUCAAUAGGAACUGCCUGCCUCAUGUUUUCACUCUUCUUCUAGCAAAAACGUUAAUCAUUUGGCAUUGCAUACUAAAAGAAAAAUAAUAAUAAAAUAGAUAAUGACUUGCUUGCAGUUCAAUUUACUUGUGUCAUGAUAUAAUAAAUACCAAGCUGAGUUUUCACAAUAUUAAUCAUUAACCUAGGAGAGGGCAUUCGCUUAAAAUUCUUGUUUCAUGAAUACAUUUGCAGUUAUUUUAACAGCAGUUCCAAAUAUGCUGAAGACAUAAACAAGCCCAAGUGCCCCCAGAAGCCAAACUCCUUUUCAUCUUUUAACUUUUGGAUAUAAAGUUAUCAUCCAUCUCCCCUGAUCGAACAGUCUCUGAAACCUGAACAACUGAAGCAAAGUUGGAUUCUGGGAGCUUUUCCUCUGUGACAGACUUCUCAGGCCCACAGCAAAAUGUUUCAGGUACUGAACUGAAGAUUCUGCAACAACAUUAGAAGAUUAUUUGGAAAAAAAGUCUAUUCUACUGGAAGGUUAGAGAUUGGUUCAAAAAAAUUUAGAAAUAAUUGGUCCAGCACUGAGAAGACUUCAUGGGCUUAAUAUUGUAUCUUGUUUAGGAGAGAGAAGAGUGAAAAAUCCUAUUUGCUUGGAUUUUGUAUUUAUAAUAAAGGUGGAAUUUUGUAUUUAAA